GACAGAGGGUGCAAACGUUGUUCGGAAUUACUGGGCGUAAAGCGAGUGUAGGCGGUUCGAUAAGUCGGAUGUGAAAGCCCCGGGCUCAGCCCGGGAAGUGCACUCGAUACUGUCGAGCUAGAGUAUCGGAGAGGUUGGUGGAAUUCUCGGUGUAGAGGUGAAAUUCGUAGAUAGUCGAGAGGAACACCGGUGGCGAAGGCGGCCAACUGGACGGAAUAC
rnacentral:rRNA from 1 species